GCCUUGUAUCCGCGUCUCCGCAGGGAAAACUGCGGCUGGCGGUGCGGGAAGUGCUAUUAGUAGUUGUUUAUUUGUUUGUUUGCAGAAAUAAUUGCUUGGGUACGAAGGUCAAACGAGAAUGAAGCAAGUAUAUUAUCUAGUUUGUAUGUCUUUAAAUAGUUUCUCCUCCACACGUCUAAACAUACGCACCUGCUAGUAGGUGCGCAAAUGUUAAAACCUCUUUGGGAAAGCAAUGUGGCAAAAUCUAGUAAAAGUUUUCAAUUACUAAACCCCAGCACUCUGCUCCUACCUAUAUGUCUUGUAGAAACUUUGAGGCUUCCUAAGAGAAGUGAUGCCCAAGACAUUAAAACAUGAAUGGGCGUUAGAUGAAGACAAAAGAGCAUUCCAUCGUAGAAGACAAUGUAGCAUGUGACGGUAAAGAUUUCCCAAGACCAAAAAGCUUAGGAGCACUGCCCCAUUCCACUGUUCUGCUGCUGGUUUUGCUUUGACUCUCCCAGAGGAAAACCGGGGUUGUCACUGGAAGUUCCUGAAGUAAUCUCCUUUUUUAGCAAACUUUUCAUUAUUACACUAUUUGGGUCAUGGUACAACUUUGCUGAAUUGCCUUGAACUGAAGUAUUGGAUUUUUACUUUAAUUUAUCCUGUGAUUAUGCUGAUUUUGCUUCACUGAUAUUCUGUCAUGUCCUUAGAUUUCUAAUGAAACUGCUCAGAAAUCAACCAGACAGGAUCUGGCUCUGUCACCCAGGCUGGAGUGCAGUGGUGCUGUGUCCGGAAUUGGUGGGUUCUUGGUCUCACUGACUUCAAGAAUGAAGCCACGGACCCUUGCCAUGAGUGUUACUGUUCUUAAAGAUGGUGUGUCUGGAGUUUGUUCCUUCAGAUGUUCAGAUGUGUCUGGAGUUUUUUCCUUCUGGUGGGUUCGUGGUCUUGCUGACUUCAGGAGUGAAGCUGCAGACCUUCGCGGUGAGUGUUACAGUUCAUAAAGGUGGCGGUCCAGAGUUGUUCGUUCCUCCCAUCCAGAGUUGUUCGUCCCCCCUGGUGGGUUUAUGGUCUCACUGGCUUCAGGAGUGAAGCUGCAGACCUUCACAGUGAGUGUUACAGCUCAUAAAGGUGGCAUGGACCCAAAGAGUGAGCAGCAGCAAGAUUUAUUGCAAAGAGCGACAGAACAAAGCUUCCAUAGCAUGGAAGGGCACCCAAGCGGGUUGCCACUGCUGGCUCGGGUGGCCUGCUUUUAUUCCCUUAUCUGGCCCCACCCACAUCCUACUGAUUGGUUCAUUUUACAGAGAGGUGAUUGGCCCGUUUUACAGAGAGCUGAUUGGUCCGUUAUGACAGAGUGCUGAUUGGUGCAUUUACAAACCUUUAGCUAGACACAGAGCACUGAUUGGUGCAUUUACAAUCCUUUAGCUAGACACAAAAGUUCUCCAAGUCCCCUACCCGAUUAGCUAGACACAGUGCACUGAGUGGUGCAUUUACAAACCUUUAGCUAGACACAGAAUGCUGAUUGGUGCAUUUACAAACCUUUAGCUAGACAAAGAGUACUGAUCAGUGUGUUUACAAACCUCUCCCUCCACACCUCCCCACAAGCAGAGAGAGCUGGCUCCGGCCUCAGCCAGCCCCAGAGAGGGGCCCCCACAGCACAGCGGCAGGUUGAAGGGUUCCUCAAGCGUGGCCAGAGCAGAUGCUGAGGCCGAGGAGGCACCGAGAGCGAGCAAGGGCUGCUAGCACGUUGUCACCUCUCAAUCCCCCCUCUAAACAGGACACCCCAACUGCUGUUGGGAAUUUGGCUGAUGACCACUGUAGCUACUUCCUGCUGGAUAGGGGCGAAGAAGCGGCCCUGCAGUUGUAGUCUCCUCCAGAAGGGAACUCUUUAGGCUAGUGGAAGGGCCCAGCAGGUCAGUCCAGGGGUCCUUGGUAGAAGCUGUUAAUUGAGCUCAUUUGGGGUUCCAUUUGUAAGACCAUCUGUAGCUUGAUGGCCUCGAUUCUAGAGGAAACAAAUUUGACAAGUAGGUUAAAAAUACAGAGUCCAAAGGUGAGUAACAGCAAGAUGGCUGCCACGGGACCUAGAAAGGGGAGAAGCCAUGUUGCUCAACUCCAGAGGUUGUUAUAAGAGUUUGAAAGGCAUUGUCUGAUUUCAGAAGCCUUUUUCUGUAAACACUGGAUGGCAUCUCAUACUAUCCCUGACUGGCUAGUGUAAAAACAACACUCUUCCCCUAAGAAGCUGCAGAGUUCUCCUUUCUCAGCAGUGAGGAGGUCUAGGCCUCAGUGGUUUUGGAGAGUCACUGCUGCUAAAGAGUCUAUUUGGGAUUGUAGAGUAAGGAUAGAUUUCGUCACUUCCUGCAAACUGUCUGAGAAAUUCUUUGAGAGUGUGUGGCAGUAAGAUAAUGCAUGUUACACUGUUAACUUUUAGCAAACUUUACUUUAGUUGAAAACCUUGUAAGUUUGGGAUUUUAAUUUUUCUUUGCUAUUAAUAAAACCUUGUUCAGUCCAUAUUAACUUAGAAUUGGUAUAGAUGUCUCCCUCCUGAUUCUGUAAGUACUUUAAGAUUUGGCUGAGUGCAAACAACUCGCACAUUUGAGCAGACCAAUUAUUAGGCAAUUUUCCUAACUCUGCUUCUAUAAGAAUUUCCUUAUCACUUACUGAAUGCCCAUUGUGUCUUUUUCCAUAAUCGCUCAGGAGGAACCAUCUAUCAUCCUCUCCUGAAGGGAGUUCCUACUAGGUCUGGUCAGACCUUCAAAUUUAGAUCCCCUGUUAGGAAACCUGCUGGGUUAAGGAUAUUUGAUAGGAAGGCUACGGGUUGUCAGUGGCCUCAGUGCUUUUUGGCUAUGCCCUUGUUUGCGCUGACAACAAAGUGGUAUUGGAGUGUUAUAGGGUCAUGGAGAAGACCUUCAAUUAUCAAUUAUAGGUUUUAAAUUUAUCCUGGCUUUUAAAGGAAUAGGGUACACUGUUUUUUCUUUACUACUUCCAUCUCUCUUUCUCUUUGACUCCUUUGUCUCUCUCUUUCUGACUCCCUCUUUGUCUGUCUCUUCCUCUCUUUCUCCUUCUUUGACUUUUGUCUCUCUGUUUCUGUCUCUCUGUCUCUUCCUCUCUGUCUCCUUCUUUUUGUCUGUUUCUUCCUCUCUUUCUUUUUCUCUGACUUCCUAUCUCUUUCUCUCUUUCCUUUCUGCUGGUCUUUCCCUGUCUCUGCUAGCUGCUUAUGCUACUGUUCUCCCCUCUCCUUCCCCUUUUUGAUGGCUUCAGCAGUGUAAGACUGCCACCUCCUUGGGUUUUUGCACUGUGUGCAAUAACUCCAUAAUUUCCUUGUGGUAUUUAACAGGGGUUCCCCCAGAGGUUAGGAACUCCCUUUCUUUCCAUAUUGCAGCAUGGGCAUGUAGGAUUAGAUAAGCAUACUUGCUAUCUGUAUACACAUUUUUUCUUUUUCCCUUUCCCAGUUCUAAGGCUCGGGUAAGUGCCACUAGUUCUGCUAACUCGGUGCUGGUCCCUGGGGGAAGAGGCUUACUUUCAAGUACAGUUACAUCACUAACUAUGGCAUAACCUUCCCUUCAUAUCCCAUUCUCCACAAAUGAACUUCCAUCGGUAUAUAGGUUAAGGUCAGGAUUAGCUAAGGGGAUGUCUCAGAGAUCAUCUCGGGUGGCAUAAGUCUCGACUGUAAUUUGUUGGCAGUCAUGCUCGAUUGGUUCCCCAUCCUCUGGGAGAAAAGUGGCAGGGUUGAGGGCCAUGCAUGUACAUAUUUGAAGCACCAGUCCCUCAAGGAGUAGCGCCUGAUAUCUAAGUAAGUGAUGUCUGAUAGCCAUAAACUUCUUUUGGCACCUAGUGUGCCAUUUACAUCAUGAGUAGUCCAGACAGUGAGAUCCUUUCCUUGUAUUAUUUUGAUAGCCUCGACACUAAGACCGCCACUGCCGCAACUGUCUGUAAACAGUGAGGCCAGCCUUUUGCUACUACAUCAGUUUCCUUACUUAGGUAUGCCAUUGGUUGUGAGGUUGUCCCACGAGUCUGAGUAAGGACUCCAAGAGCUAUCCCUGCUCUCUCUGUGAUGUAUAAAGAGAAGUUUUGUCCUGUGGGAAAGCUUAAACCUGGAGCAUGUAUUAGGGCCUGCUUUAAGGUUUUGAAGGCUGUUUCUGCCUCUGGUUCCCAUUCUACUAGAUGAGUAUUUGCUCUCUGGGUCUCCUUGAUUAGAGGAUAGAGGGGCCUGGCUAUCUUGCUGUAUCUGGGGAUCCAUAGUCGGCAAAAGCCAGUGAUUCCAAGGAACCCCCGCAACUGUUUUAAUGUCUUAGGGUGAGGAUAAGCCAGUAUAGGCUGUAUUCGUUCCUUGCUGAGGGCCCUGGUCCCUUUGGCAAAGAUUAGGCCUAGAUAUUUGAUCUGAUGUAGGCAAAGCUUGGCCUUUGACCUAGACACCUUGUACCCUUGAUCAGCUAAAAAGUUCAAGAGAUCUACAGUAGCCUGCUGGCACAAGGCUUCCGAACUGGUAGCCAAAAGUAAGUCAUCCACAUACUGAAGGACCAGAGUGCCUGGACUUGAGAAGUGACCAAGAUCUUGGGCCAGGGCCUGACCAAACAGGUGAGGGCUAUCCCUAAACCGUUGGGGCAAGACCAUCCACGUAAGUUGGACGUGUGGUCUGUGGGAUCCUCAAAGGCAAAGAGAAACUGGGAGUCAGAGUGCAGGGGAAUACAGAAGAAGGCAUCCUUGAGGUCCAAAACAGUGAACCAUUCUGCUUCCUCUGGUAUUUGAGAGAGCAAUGUAUAGGGGUUGGGUACAACUGGAUAUAGAGGAAUUACUGCCUCAUUGAUGAGUCUAAGAUCUUGCAUUAGUCUCCACUGACCGUUCAGUUUUUGUGCUCCUAGAAUUGGGGUGUUGCAGGGACUGCUGCAUUUCCUUACUAAGCCUUGAGCUUUUAAAUGUUUAACAAUAUCCUGUAAUCCUUUAUGAACUUCAGGCCUUAAGGGAUAUUGCCUUUGAUAAGGAAAGUGGUGGGGUCUUUUAGCCUGAUUUGGACUGGGUGGGCAUUUUUUGCCUUUCCAAAUUGUCCUUCCAAUGCCCAGACUUCAGGGUUGAUUCCCUCCUCAAGUAGGGGACAACAAAUGGGUAACUUCUUCCCCAUAUUCAUGUAGAUAAUAGCUCCAGCCUUGGCUAAUAUAUCCCUCCCUAAUAAGGGUGUGGGACUUUCAGGCAUAACAAGAAAGUCAUGUGAAAAGAGCAAAGUCUCCCAAUUACAACUGAGGAGGUGGAAGAAAUACCUGGUUACAGGCUGUCCCAGGAUUCCUUGGAUGGUAAUGGACCUUGAGGACAGUCGUCCAGGACAGGAGAUUAACACUGAGAAGGUCGCACCAGUAUCCGGGAGGAAGUCAAUUUCCUGACCCUCAAUGGUUAAACAUACCCAGGGCUCAAUGAGGUUGAUGACAUGAGCUGGCGCUUGCCCCAGGCACCCUCAGUCCUGUUGUUGGAUCAUUUGGUUGGGGGCUUCUGACUCAGAGAAUCUUUGUCCUCUGGGGCAGUGCACCUUCCAGCGAUUGCCUGGGCAUAGUGGACAUGGACGAGGGGGCAGCUUGUUUCUCAUUGGACAAUCUUUUUCAAAGUGUCCUUGCAAACCACACUGGUAACAGGCCCUACAGGGUGAUUGGCCUGCUCCAUUUUCUGUCCUCUCUGAACUACCAAGGUUUGUCUGUCUGAGGGCCAUGACUAAGGCUGUGGCCUUUCCCUGAUCUUGCUUUUCCUUUUGGGCCUGUUCCUCUUUGUCCCUAUUAUAGAACACUGAGGUUGCCAGGUUUAAUAAUGCCUCCAAAUUUUGCUCAGGGCCCAGGGCUUGCUUUUGGAGCUUUCUCCUCAUAUCUGUGGCUGAUUGGGUAAUAAACUUAUCUUUUAGAAUCAAUUGACCCUCGAGUGAUUCAAGUGACAGGGAGUAUAUUUCCUUAAGGCCUCCCGUAGCUGCUCGAGGAAGGCAGAAGGAUUUUCUUCCUUUCCCUGAGUUAUGGUGGACAUCAUUGAAUAAUUCAUGGGCCUUUUUCCUAAUUCUCCUUAGUCCUUCUAGAACACAGGUCAACAGAUGUUUAUGACUCCAGUCCCCAUGAUCUGAGUCAAGGCCCCAGUGGGAAUACAUACGGGGGACGGCUUGCUGACCGGUAGGGAAUUUAUCCCUCUCUUUGGCUAUCAUUCUAUCAUUUACUUGACUAAGAUACCAGGUAUCUCCAAACUCUCGGGCUGCAGCUAAAGCCACAUUCUUUUCAUUAAAGGCCAGGGUUUGAUCUAAUAGUAGCAUGACAUCUCUCCAAGCAAGGUUGAAGGUUUGCCCUAGACCCUGUAGGACAUCUAUGUACCUAUCAGGAUCUUCUGAAAACUUCCCAAGGUCUGCCUUGAUCUGCUUUAAAUCAUAGAGGGAGAAGGGGACAUGUACCUAGGUUGGGCCAAAUUCCCCUCCCCCUACAGCUUGAAGGGGACAUAACCAAUAGCCUAGGGGUUUUUGUGGUCCUUUGGAGAUUUCUUUGCUUAUUUCCUUCUUGGUAGGGGAGAUUAGAGGAGGAUUAUCAUUAAUGGGAAGGGGAGCUAUAGGGAGGCUAGGAUAUGGGGGUAAGCUGAGAGGUCCUCCUGUGGGAUGUAAAUUGCAGGCUUUGCAUAGUUGUGUAUUCUCCUUCAGUGAAAAGAAAGCUUGGACAUAGGCAUUUCACUCCAUUUGCCUUCCCUUUUAGAGAAAAGGUCAAGCUGCAGGAUAGUAUUGUAAUUUAUACUUCCCUCAGGUGGCCAUUUUUCCCCAUCAGAGAGAGAAUAUUGGGGCCAGGCCAUAGUGCAGAAAAAAUUAGCCACCUCUUUUUCAGGGUUUGUGGGUCAAAUUGGUCCCAAUGAUUUAGGAUGCAUUUCAAGGGUGAGCCUGUUGAUACCUGAGUGUUUCUCAUCUGAAAGACAAAACUGCCCAUGGUUUUGUUUUGUUUUGUUUUGUUUUGUUCUGUUCUGUUCUGUUUCUCCCCCUGCCCAAGAACCCGCAAUGGUCUUUGGACCCUGCUGACUGGAAUAGUUGCGCUCACCAAUGCAGCAGCAAAAACAACCCCUGCCCAAGAACCCACAACAGUCCCUGGACCCUGCUGAUCAGAAUAGUUGUGCUCACCAACGCAGCAGCAGAAACACUAGUUUUCCUCCCAGACCACAAGGAGGACUGAGAAAGGUCGGAUUUAGUGGCCCUUACUGAUGCAUUCUCAAAAACCUGUACCCUUGCCUGUCCUCCUAGACCACAAGGAGGACUGAGAAAAAUCGGAUUUAAUGGCCCUGACUGAUGCAUUCUUCAAAACUUUUUAGAGUCCUAAGCAUUCUCAUGUUAGUAUUGGGACCUUACCCAUGUCCUAUAGAGAUGUCAUGCCCCAAAAAUGAAGUGGAGGCCCAUACCCUGAGGGAGGGAAGGGAUCUCCAGAGUUGGAAGAGUGACACCUUUUGUCCUCACUUAUAUGAAUAGGAAGGAUACAAUUUCUGAGGCUUCCCAUAUCCUAGCUUCAGGAAUAGCUUUUGUUAGGCCUGCUAGUCUGAGGAGGGAUCCUAAAAUUCCAGGUAGUCCCCCCAUGAUGGGGCUUUGGGCAAAAAUUAUGUCUUUCUGAUUGGUGACCCCAGGUGCUGAAAGAAGGUAACAGAGUCCUGGAGUUUAUACUAGAAAUCAUUCUUAUAAGAGAAACUAGAAAAGCACCAGAGACAGGGAGUGACUUUUAGAAGCGGGACUAGCUUCGGAGAAGAGAGGCAAGAGGAAGUUUGUCUAGCAGGCAUUAGGACCCAGGAGGCAAGGGUCAGGGUAGAUAGAAUAGAUGGGCGAGUCUCGCUUGGGUGACAUGACUUGAGAGUUCCGCUCAUGGCUACAGGGUCAACCAGCUUGCUGUUGGGACCCCAGAGCUGAAUGGCUUUCCUCUCUGUCAACCCUCAGCUCAGCCCAGAAGUACAGGAAAAGUGGAAGCUGGUUCCAGGCAAACCAAUGCUCCCAACUCCGAAGAGUCAGGGGUUGUUAGAGAGCCCUUUCCCAGAAAGCCUGACACCCGUGUCUUUAGUCCGGCAGCCGCGCUAGUCGCUAUUAACUAGCCAACAGGUGCCCGUUAUUUAGCCCCCAAAUUCUAAGGAAUAAUAGGACAGAAUAGCAAGUGAAAGGGGUUCAAUAGUACUCACCGCUUGGCGAUAGGCAGUGGUCUCACUGCUUGGUGAUAGUCUUACUGCUUGGUGAUAGGCGAUAGUCCCUUCGUGGUCACCAAAAUGUGUCCGGAAUUACUGGGUUCUUGGUCUCGCUGACUUCAAGAAUGAAGCCGUGGACCCUCGCAGUGAGUGUUACAGUUCUUAAAGAUGGUGUGUCCAGAGUUUGUUCCUUCAUAUGUUCAGAUGUGUCCAGAGUUUCUUCCUUCUGGUGGGUUCGUGGUCUCGCUGACUUCAGGAAUUAAGCUGCAGACCUUUGCGGUGAGUGUUACAGCUCUUAAAGGCGGUGCGUUUGGGGUUGUUUGUUCCUUCCGGUGAGUUUGUGGUCUUGCUGGCCUCAGGAGUGAAGCUGCAGACCUUCGUGGUGAGUGUUAUAGCUCAUAAAGGUGGUGCAGAGCCAAAGAGUGAGCAGCAGCAAGAUUUAUUGUGAAGAGUGAAAGAACAAAGCUUCCACAACAUGGAAGGGGACCCAAGCGGCUUGCCGCUGCUGGCUUGGGUAGCCUGCUUUUUAUUCCCUUAUCUGGUCCCACCCACAUCCUACUGAUUGGUUCAUUUUACAGAGAGCUGACUGGUCCAUUUUACAGAGAGCUGAUUGGUCUGUUUUACAGAGAGCUGAUUGGUCCGUUUUGACAGAAGGCUGAUUGCUGCAUUUACAAACCUUUAGCUAGACACAAAAGUUCUCCAAGUCCCCUACCCAAUUAGCUAGACGCAGAGUGCUGAGUGGUGCAUUUACAAACCUUUAGCUAGACACAGUGCUGAUUGGUGUGUUUUUACAAACCUUUAGCUAGACAGAAAAGUUCUCCAGGUCCCCACCCAACCCAGAAGCCCAGCCGGGUUCACCUCUCAGUGGCACUUCCCAUGGGACUUUGCGGCACCUAGCCCAGGCAUUCCGGCAGCCCAGAGGGAGCUCGUCCCAGAUGAAGCCCAGUAGGUGCCGGCCACUAGGAGUGCAGGGCCCGCCAAGCCCAUGCCCACCCAGAACCUGCGCCUGCAGCCCUGGCUCCCACCCACGCCUCUCCCUGAAAUCUCCCCAGGAGCAGAGGGAGCCAGCUCUGGCUUUGGCCAGACUCCAAGGGGGGCCCUCACAGUGCAGCGGUGGGCUGAUGGGCUCCUCAAGCGUGGCCAGAGCGGACGCCGAGGCCAAGGAGGUGCCAAGAGUGAGCAAGGGCUGCCAGCACGUUGUCACCUCUCAGUGCAAUCUCAGCUCACUGCAGCUUCUGACUCACUGCAGCUUCUGACUCACUGCAGCCUCUGCCUCCCAGGUUCAAGCAAUCCUUCCACAUCAGCUUCCCGAGUAGCUGGGACUACAGAUAUGCACCACCAGGCCUGGCUAAUUUUUGUAUAUUUUUGUAGAGACAGGGUUUCGCCAUGUUGCCCAGGCUGGUCUCGAACUCCUGGGCUCAAGUGAUCUACCUGCCUCAGCCUUCCAGGAUUACAGACAUGAGACACUGCACCCAGCUGAAUUUUAACUCUUGUUAUGGCUGAAUAAUAUUCCAUUAUAUGGACAUACUACUUUUAUUUAUCCACUUAUCAGUUAAUGGGCAUUUGGGUUAUUUCUACAUUUUGGCUAUUGUGAAUAAUACUGCUAAGAAUAUGACAAUAUUCUUAGUAUUAUGACAGAAUAUGACAAUAUUCUUAGUAUUUUUGAGUUUGAGUUCCUAUUUUCAAUUCUUUUGGGUAAACACCUAGGAGCGGAAUUGCUAACUCUUGUGUGUAAUUCUUUGUUUAACUUUUUGAGGAACCACCAAACUGUUUUCCACAGCAGCUGCACCAUUUUACAUUCUCAUCAGCAAUGUACAAGAGUUGCAGUUUUCUCCAUCCUUGCCAACACUUAUUUUCUGGUUUAAAAAAUGUUUUAGUCUGGGCACAAUGGCUCAUGGCUUAUGCCUGUAAUCCCAGAGCUUUGGGAGGCUGAGGCAGGUGGAUCACUUGAACCUAGGAGUUCAAGACCAGCCCGGGCAAUAUGGAGAAACCCCAUCUGUACAAAAAAUCCAAAAUAUCUAGGCAUCGCAGUGCAUACCUGUAGUUCCAGAUACCUGGGUGUCUGAGAUGGCAGGAUCACCCUCCUGAGCCCAGGAGGUCAAGGCUGCAGUGAGCUGUGAUCAUGGCACUGCACUCCAGCCUGGGCAACAGAGCAAGACCCUGUCUCAAAAAAAAAUGUUUUUGACUGGGCAUGGUAGUUCAUGCCUAUAAUCCCAGCACUUUGGGAGGCAGAGGCAGGUGGAUCAUGAGGUCAGGAGACCGAAACCAUCUUGGCUAACACCCUGUCUCUACUAAAAAUUCAAAAAAUUAGCUGGGCAUGGUGACACAUGCCUGUAGUCCCAACUACUCGGGAGACUGAGGCAGGAGAAUCUCUAGAACCCGGGAGGCAGAGGUUGCAGUGAACUGAGAUCACGCCACUGCACUCCAGCCUGGGCGAUAGAGCAAGAUUCUGUCUCAAAAAAAAUAAAAUAAAAUAAAACCAUCAUCAAAAACAAAAACACAAAAAACAACAGCAGAAAAUUAUAACCAUCCUAAUAGGUAUAAAAUGAUAUCUUGUGAUUUUGAUUUGCAUCUCCCUUGUGAUGAAUGAUGAGCAUAUUUUUAUGUGUUUAUUGGCCAUUAGAAUAUCUUAUUUGAAGAACUAUUCAUAUCCCUUGCCUAUUUUUUAUUUGGCUUGCUUGUCUUUUUUCUUGUUGAAUUAUAAGGGUUCUUCAUGUAUUAUAGAUACUAGACUUAGCAGAUACAUGAUUUGCCAAUAAUUUCUCCUAUUCCGUAGGUUGUCUUUUCACUUUCUUGAUAGGGUCUUUAGAUGCACAAAAGUUUUUAUUUUGAUGAAGCUCAAUUUAUCUACUUUUUCUUCCUUCCUUUUUUUUUUUUUUAUUUUGAGACGAAGUUUUGCUCUAUCACCCAGGCUGGAGUGCAGCGGCACAAGCUUGGCUCACUGCAACCUCCGCCUCCCAAGUUCAAGCAAUUCUCCUGCCUCAGCCUCCUGAGUAGCUGGGAUACAAGCGUGCACCACCACUCCUGGCUAAUUUUUGUAUUUUUAGUAGAGACGGGGUUUCACCGUGUUGGCCAGGCUGGUCUAGAACACCUGACCUCAAGUGAUCGCCCUAAGUUGGCCUCCUAAAUUGCUGGGAUUACAGGCAUGAGCCACCAUUCCCAGACAAUUUUAUCUAUUUUUUCUUUUGUUGCUUGAGGUUUUUAUGUCAAACUAAAAAACUGUUGCCAGAUCCAAGGUCAUGUAGCUUUAUCUCUAUGUUUUAGAGGUGGGGGUUCACUUUCUUGCCCAGCCAGAGUGAAGUGGCUAUUCACAGGUGUGAUCAAAGCUAACUGCUCAAAUCCUGGCCUCAAAGGAUCCUCCCGCCUCAGCCUCCCAAGUAACUGGGACUACAGGCACUGCUGCCUGACUCUACUUUAUAUUUUUUAGUUAUUUUCUUAGUGAUUACCCUGAGGAUUACAGUUAACAUUAUAAUUUAUAACAAUCAAGUUUGAAUUUAUACCAGGUUAGUUUAAAUAGCAUACAGAACUUUGCUCUUACAUAGCUCCAUCCCUCCUUUAUGUUGCUAUUGCUGCAAACUACAUCUUCAUGCAUCGUGUGCUGAUUAACAUAUAUUUAUAACUAUUGUUUAUGCACUUGUCUUUUAAAUCAUAUAAAAAACAAGGAGUUAUAAAGCAAAAAUAUAGUAAUACUGUUUUUUGUAGUUAUAAUACCUUUACCUAUGUAGUUGUAAUACCUUUACUGAAGUUCUUUCUUCACAUGGCCGCAAGUUACUGUAUAUUGCCUUUCAUGUCAGCCUGAAGGACUCCUUUUAGCAUUUCCUGUAGGGCUGGUCUACUAGUGACAAAUUUCUCCAGUUUUUGUUAAUCUGGGAGUGUCUUAAUUUCUACUUCAUUACUGAAUAUAGUUUUGCCAGAUAAAAUUUUUUGGCCAGGCUUGCUGGCUCAUGCUUGUAAUCCCAGCACUUUGGGAGGCUGAGGGGGGAGGAUUGUUUUGAGCUCAGGAGUUCAAGACCAACCUGGGCAACAUGACAAAAUCCCAACUCUACAAAAAAUACAAAAAUUAGCCCGGCAUUGGUGGCUUGUGCCUGUAGUCCCUGCUACUCACGAGGCUGAGGCUGGAGAGUCACUUGAGCCUUGGAAGCGGAGGUUGCAGUGAGUUGAAAUCAUGCCACUGCACUCCAGUCUAUACUCCCCUGUCUCAAAAGAAAGAAUUUUUUUUUUUGGUUGACAUUUUUUCUCUUUCAGUACUUUAAAUGUGUCAUCCACUAACUGUGGCUUUCAUAGUUUCUAAUGAGGAAUCAAUUGUUAAUUUUAUUUAGAAUUUCUUGUAAAUAAUGAGUUGCCUCUCUCUUGCUGCUUUCAAGAUGCUCUCUUUGGCUUUUGACAGCUUGGUUAUAAUGCGUCUCUGUCUGGUUCUCUAUACUUGAAAUUUGUUGAGCUUCUUGGGUGUGAAGAGUCAUGUCUUUCAUUACAUUUGAGAAGUUUUGGCCAUUAAUUCUUCAAAUAUUGUCUCUGCCCCUUUCUCUUUCUCCUCCUCUUUUAAAACUCUCUCUCUUUUUUUUUUUUUGUUUUUGUUUUUGAUACAAAGUGUCACUCUGUCACCCAGGCUGGAGUGCAGUGGUGUGAUCUCAGCUCACUGCAACCUCUGCCUCCCAGGUUCAAGUGAUUCUCAUGCCUCAGCCUUCUGAGUAGCUGGGAUUACAGGCGUGUGCCACCAUACCCACCUAAUUUUUGUAUUUUGUAUUUUUUUAAAUUUUGUUUAUAUAUUUAUUUAUUUAUUUUGAGAUGAAGUCUCAUUCUGUUGCCUAGGCUGGAGUACAGUGGCACAAUCUUGGCUCACUGCAACCUCUGCCUCCCAGGUUCAAGCAAUUCUCUCAGCCUCCCAAGUAGCUGGGAUUAUAGGCAUAUGCCACCAUGCCAGGCUAAUUUUUGUAUUUUUUGUAGACACAGGGUUUUGCCAUGUUGGCCAGGCUGGUCUCAAACUCCUGACCAGCCCUCCUUGACCUUCCAAAGUGCUGGGAUUAUAGGCGUGAGCCAUUGCACCUGGCCCAGUUCCCUGGGAUACAUGUGUUUUAAUUCAUUUUCUGUUGCUAGUAACAGAAUACCUGAAACUGGGUAAUUUAUAAGGAAAAGAAAUUUAUUUCUUACAGUGAUGGAGGUUGAGAAGUCCAACUUCAAGGCACCACAUCUGGUGAGAGCCUUCAUUCCGAUGACAGCCUUCAUGCUGGUAAGAUUUUCUUCAGAGUUCCAAGGUGGUGCACGGCAUCACAUGGCGAAGGAAAUGAGCGUGCUAGCUCAGGUGUCUCUUCCUCUUCUUAUAAAGCCACCAGUCCCACUCCUGUGCUAGUAACUCUUUAAUCCAUCAACCCAUUAAUCCAUGAAUAGAUUAACCCAUGAGGCCUCUGCCCUCAGGACCCAAUCACCUCUUAAAGGCCUGACCUGUCAAUAUUGCCAUACUGGGGACUCAGUUUCAACAUGAGUUUUGAAAGGGACAAACAUUCAAUCCAUAGUAACAUGAGAGCUUUUCAAAGCCCUUCUUUGUUGAAGUAUGUCCUUCUCCAGCCUCUUUUUUCCCAGGCUUUUUGUUUUUUCUAUUGCUUGUGCAGCUGUUAUCCUUUGCUACAGGUGGCAAUAGCUAAUACAUUUGCCUUUAAAUUUGUUUGACAAACACCACCCUGGAAGUAGCCUCAACUCUGGGGAAGCUCCAAGACAGGUAAAAUACAGGUAAGCCCUUGAGCAGAUCCUUCAGGAAGCUACCAUAUGGGUCAAAACACAGAACCACAAUUCUUUAAUUCUUUGAGAAUAAGGUCUGUAUUGUUCCCUCUGUUACCAGCAACCUGCAGCAGGAAAAUGGGCUUCAGUUUUCAAGUCUGCAGCUGAGUUGGGAAGUUGCGGACAGUAACCAGUAAUACACAAUAUUGGCAACA
rnacentral:lncRNA from 1 species